rnacentral:rRNA from 1 species
GACAGAGGGUGCAAACGUUGUUCGGAAUUACUGGGCGUAAAGCGCGUGUAGGCUGCUUCGCGAGUCGGGUGUGAAAGCCCUGGGCUCAACCUAGGAAGUGCACUCGAAACUGCGAAGCUUGAGUCCUGGAGAGGAAGGCGGAAUUCUCGGUGUAGAGGUGAAAUUCGUAGAUAUCGAGAGGAACACCGGUGGCGAAGGCGGUUCUCUGGGCCUGUACUGACGCUGAGGAGCGAAAGCGUGGGGAGCGAACAGG